rnacentral:rRNA from 1 species
GAUGAACGCUGGCGGCGUGCUUAACACAUGCAAGUCGAACGAAGCACCUGGAUUUGAUUCUUCGGAUGAAGAUCCUUGUGACUGAGUGGCGGACGGGUGAGUAACGCGUGGGUAACCUGCCUCAUACAGGGGGAUAACAGUUAGAAAUGACUGCUAAUACCGCAUAAGACCACAGGGUCGCAUGACCUGGUGGGAAAAACUCCGGUGGUAUGAGAUGGACCCGCGUCUGAUUAGGUAGUUGGUGGGGUAACGGCCUACCAAGCCGACGAUCAGUAGCCGACCUGAGAGGGUGACCGGCCACAUUGGGACUGAGACACGGCCCAAACUCCUACGGGAGGCAGCAGUGGGGAAUAUUGCACAAUGGGGGAAACCCUGAUGCAGCGACGCCGCGUGAGCGAAGAAGUAUUUCGGUAUGUAAAGCUCUAUCAGCAGG